CACCCGAUCCCUUUCCGAACUCGGCCGUGAAAGCCUGUAGCGCCGAUGGUACUUUGUCUUAAGGCACGGGAGAGUAGGUCGCUGCCUGGU
rnacentral:rRNA from 1 species